UGCAAUCGAUGGUGGCAUGUCGGUGUACAAGGAUCUUUUUGCAAAGAAGAAAAAAGAGCGACCUAUCACUAUGUUCUUCUCCCGAACAAACACACCUGCACCGCGGGCUUCAGAAGAAGAGAAAACUGCAGAGCGCAGUCACGAUGAAGCGGCCCAGUCUGAAGAGCAGUGAAACGGCCUACACAGAUGAAAGCCCGUGCUUAAGGCCUCGGUAUCAGCGCGAGACGUGAAUGACAUCUUCCAUUCGCGCCGCGUCUUCUCCUCACAUCUCACAUGCACUCAGUCGUCACAUCCCACAACAAAGAGACGCCCCGAGUCAUCAUCCAUCAAGCGGAGCCUUUUAUGGCCCAUCAAAAGACAAUGAACUGCCGGAGUGAAAGCAGUGUUUGCAACAUGAGACAGUGGACGCGAGUCGGGACGGCCCACCAAAAUUCCAUCACCACAACAGCGUCGGACAUUGUUCUGGCAAGAGCUGAAAACUCCCCGACCCCGGGGAGAGCGCCUCUCCGCUGGUUCGUCACGCUGUUUACUCACACGAGCGGCCCACCCAGAGGGCGGCGACACACCUCAGACCCCCACCCCCCAACCUGCAGGGAACACGUCAGCCCCCACUGCGGUCCAGACUGUGACAGUGGGCUUCCUGGGAGGAGAACCCAGCGUGACAUUGGAGGCCGAACGGUCACGACGAGGGAAAAACGGCCCUUCAUCCACAUCGCAGUGAUUUCUGCGCACCGCCGCCAUCAAACCGGGGACGUGUGCGAUCACCGUCACUGGACUUGUUCCAAUCCUCUUGGAUAGAAUAUUUAU
ensembl:lncRNA